rnacentral:lncRNA from 1 species
UUUUUUUUAAGUGGGCUUUAGAAUUUUUGAAAGAUUUUUGAAUUUUGGCUUUCAAUUAAUCUGCAGUCCUACGGGCAUUAAUUAUAAAUAUAAAAUGAAUGUACAUUUAAUAGAUAGGUCAGGACACAGUUUGAACAUUUUAACCAUGAGGUUUUUAGAUUGCUGCAGUCUAGACCUGAUUAGAGAUUAAAAAAAAAAAAAAAAGAAACAUGGAAACAUGCACAAAUAAGAUUAAAUGACUAAAUCCCAUCAUGGUGGUAGAUUAACUGCCCCAGGUGUUCCUUAUGAUGUGCCAUGAUGCUUAAUGAGUUCCUUAAUGAUUUGAAAAGGGGAAGGGAUAGUAUGGCAACAAAAUUUGUUAGGACACUAGGCUAUAUAGGUGUACAAGAACCUGAUGUGACUGUAGAGAAUGUUAAGGAAACUUAUAUAAGCUACUUCCUUGAGCAGCUCCAACCUGUCAGAAAGUGUGAAAAUGUCUUCUGCUCACAUCUGAGAAAAAGAUGCACAGCUGAAUCAAGGAAUGGCUGCAGCAUCAUUGAUAAGAAAUUCUGAAGACAUUUUCUCUGGUGUAGAAGAAUGGAAUAAAUCCAAAUGGAAAAGACA